ensembl:lncRNA
CAACUGUACAGAGGAGAGUGGGGUAGUGAGGGGACUGCAUAGAGGAGUGUGUGAAUUCUGGCAGUGCGGGGACUGCACAUUGGAGAGUGGGGCAGUGAGGGGACUAUACAGAAGAAAGUGGGAAAGCUGGACUGUGAGGCGACUGUACAGAGGAGAGUGGGGUAGUGAGGGGACUGCAUAGAGGCAUGUGAACAGCCGAGCACAGCUGAGAGUGGGGCAAUAAGGGGACUGGACAGAGGAGAGUGGGGCAGUGAGGGGACUGUACAGAGGAGAGUGGGGCAGUGAGGGGACUGGACAGAGGAGAGUGUGGCAGUGAGGGGACUGUACAGAGGAGAGUGCAGCAGUGAGGGGACUGUACAGAGGAGAGUGUGGCAGUGAGGGGACUGGACAAAGGAGAGUGUGGCAGUGAGGGGACUGGACAGAGGAGAGUGUGGCAGUGAGGGGACUGGACAGAGCAGAUUGUGAAUGCUGGGAAGUGGGGGGACUGGACACAGGAGAGUGGAGAAGUGAAGGGACUGUAGAGAGGAGAGUGGGGCAGAGAAGGGACUGUAGAGAGGAGAGUGGGGCUGCUGGGAAGUGAGGGGUUUGAACAGAGGAGAGUGGGGCAGUGAAGGGACUGCACAGAGAAGAGUAGGGCUGUGAGGGAACUGCACAGAGGAGAGUGGGGCAGUGAGGGGGCUGCACAGAGGAGAGCAGGGCAGUGAGGGGAUUGGACAAAGGAGAUUGGGAAUGCUGGGCACUGGGGGAAUUGCACAGAGGAGAGUGGGGUAGUGAAGGGACAGCAUAGACUAGUGUGUGAAUGCUGGACAGUGAGGGGACUGGACAGAGGAGAGUGGGGCAGUGAGGGGACUGAACAGAGGACAGUGGGGCAGUGAGGGUAUGGACAGAUGAGAGUGGGGCAAUGAGCGGACUGGACAGAGGAGAGUGGGGCAGUAAGCGGACUGGACAGAGGAGAGUGGGGCUCCUGUGUAGUGAGAGGUUUGGACAGAGGAGACUGUGAAUGCUGGGCAGUGGGGAUACUUCACAGAGGAGAGUAGGGCAGUGAAGGGACUGCAGAGUGGAGAGUGGGGCAGUGAAGGGACUGUAGAGAGGAGAGUGGGACAGUGAGGGGACUGUACAGAGGAGAGUGGGGCAGUGAGGGGUUUGCAUACGAUAGAGUUGGAAUGCUGUGCUGUGACGGGACUGCACAGAGUAGCAUGGGGCAGUGAAGGGACUGUUGAGAGGACAAUGGGGCUGCUGGGCAGUGAGGUGACUGUACAGAGGAGAGUGGGAAUGCUGGGCAGUAAGAGGACUGUAGAAAGGAGAGUGGGGCAUUGAGGAUACUGUACAGAGGAGAUUGGGGCAGUGAGGAGACUGUACAGAGGAGAGAGGGGCAGUGAAGGGACUGUAGAGAGGAGAGAGGGUCAGUGAGGGGUUUGCACAGGAUAGAGUCGGAAUGCUGUGCAUGUGAAGGGACUGUACAGAGUAGAGUGGGGCAGUGUGGGGACUGUACAGAGGAGAGUGUGGCAGUGAAGGAGGAGGAGAAAAGUGGGGCAGUAAAAGGUUUUCACCGGAUAGAGUCGGAACGCUGUGCUGUGAAUGAACUGCACAGAUUAGAUUGGGGCAGUGAGGGGACUGUACAGAGUAGAGAGGGCCAGUGCGGGCACUGUACAGAGUAGAGUGGGGCAGUUCGGGGACUGCCCAGAGUAGAGUGGGGCAGUGCGGGGACUGCCCAGAGAGAGUAGAGUGUGGC